UACAGACUUAGAGAUCUGCUUUCUAGAAAAGUUUCUUUAUAUUAAAAUUGUUAAAAAAGAAAAGCCUUUAAAACCAUCUCCUUGGUUCAUCUUUUUAAACCUCUCUGUUGUAGCAGGUGGUUCUUGUCUAUCUGGAAGUAUGCUUGGGUUGCAGUUGCUUUUUCUGAACUUUUUCUUGCCAAAUUCUUUUCUUUGUAUCCCCACCCACCCUUAACCACCAUGACAUUUGUUACUUUAAAAGAAAAAAAAUAUUAUUCUUAUUGGCUACUGUGACUUUUCAUCGGAAAAAUGAAGUGAAACUAUGAAUGUAUGAAUUUUUGUUUUUCCUUUUUUUUUUUUUUUUGCUUUGUUGAUUUAAAGAAAGCCUCCUUUCUUAGCUACUUCUGGGAAAGGAUGGCUCUGGUGUGCAUAAUCACUUGUUUACUGACAUUAGGGUCCAUCUGUAGGAGGAAUUCAGAGCCAGCUUUUGUGAGUACUGUGCAUUUUUUGAGAUCUGCCCCUCCCCAGGUGUGGCUAAUCUAGCUUUUAAAAGAUAAUUUACUAUCCGAAAAAAACAGCCGAUUGUUAUCAGAUCCUGGGCUAUGUCUCUAAAAUGAGAACGAAGAGUUGCGGCUACCCUACUACAGAGCCUUCGCUUCCCCACAGAGGAGGGAAACGUGAGUAGCAGGAGCCCAAUGCCAUGCUACUUUGUGUCAAAGACUUGACUUGAUUGGCCUGAGCAUCUGCUGUCUCAGUCAGUUGUUCCCCCACCAAGCUUCAUGGAGAACAGGCUGUCUCCUGUCUGCUGCUGUCCACUGCAGUGUACUGCAGGUUUGGUUUGGUUUUGACUUGAUUUUUGUUUUGUUUUGUCUUUGUUUUGUAUUGUGCUAAUAACAAAGACAACAGACCAACAAAAACUAUGCACACUCUCGCUGUUCUUCCUGCCUGCAGUGUAGAACAUUGUUUUUAACGACCUGAAUUUUUUUCUUUAAGAAUUAUGUUACCUACAGCUUUGAAAGAAUUACAGAGAUUUCACAGAAACAUUAAAUCCUACCCUGUCAUUUCAUAGCUCUGAGAACAUUUUUUUUCUGAAGUAUAUACGACAUGAUAGAGGGGUUCAGCAAUCUUAAAAGACACUUGACGGUCAGGGGGCACAGCACUUUUGCUAGGAAGCUGCGGUGCUGUUCUUCCUAUCAAAGGGAAGUAGAUAGAUUGAUAGAAUGCUAAUGAGAAGAUAUUACCAAUAGAUAAAAAUGUUUGCACAUAGCCCCUUAGCCUGGUAAUAUGAAUGAAUUAUCAAUAAUGAUAAAAAAGUAUUGUUUUCUAAAACCAGAGAUCACAAUGAUAUGAGAGUCCAGAUAGUCUCUUUUGUUACUAUGAUCUGACCUUGUUUGUCCUGGUUUUUGUAUAAACUAGUGAGAUAUUUCCCUAUUCCAAUCAUAUUAAAACAUCACUGGAGGUAUUAUGAAGACAUUAAGAUAAUUAUUGGGACAAAUAUCAUGAAAACUCUCCAGAAAUAUUGUAAAUGUGUUGCUAAUAUCAAUCUCCUGUAACUUUCAGAACUUUUUUAUUUUUAUGAUUUCAUGUAAGGAAAUGGCAUUGGAAUUUUUAUGUAGUCCUAGCGGGCUUUGAGCUUCUGAGCCCCUCCUUCCAAGUGCUGGGAUUAUAAGCAUGGGUCACAAUGCCUGUCUUUUUCUUUCUCUCUCUCUCUCUCUCUCUCUCUCUCUCUCUCUCUCUCUCUCUCUCUCUUUCUCUUUUCUCUUUAAAUGUAGCUAUGUAGGUCUGGCUGUCCAGGAAUUCUCUAUGUAGAUCUCAGAUUCAUCCAGAUCCACCUGAAUCUGUCUCCCAAUGCUUGGGAUCAAAGAUGUGUGCCACUACACCCUUCUUGAACAGGGUGCUACCACAAAGCCCGAGUGGACUUUGAACUCACCACAUAGACCAGGCUGGUCUUAAAAUUGUGAACUUGCUGCUAACCUUCUGCUUCUUUCUCUUGAGUACUGGGGUAACAGCGAUGUACCACCACAUCUAGAAACAGGUAAAUCAUGGUUUCAGUACUGCUGGUAAUAGUGAGUCAAUCUUACCCUCCUCCAUUUUAGCAGGUCUCAAUGCAACAUUGUGUGCAAGAGUAUUACCCCUUUGUUUUCUUCGUUGUUUCUUCCUUAUAUUUCUUGCCUUACUUGGCAGAAUUUGGCUUUUUGUUCAAAUAUCUUCAUAGAGUCUUUGUCCAUUUUCAUCCUAGUAAAAAACACCUUGAGGUGAGGACUGCCCAUGCGGGCACACGAGCCACCAGCUUCUCCCUGCAGCUUCUCUGCAGUAGAAACCUGGACCACUUUCCUAACUUGCUGCUCUUCACAGCCCCUCCCUCCAUAAACCUUGUUGUCCUUUCUUUUGAUUUAUCUUGUCUUCUUUCUGCUUGAUUUUACUUAGCUUGAUGACAGUCUUAGAUAGGAGUGCCCUAAGCUGGCCUUGAACUUGUGAUCUUGCUUCAGUCUGGAACAUGCUAGAGUAACUCACAUAUGCCAUCAUGUCUGGAUUCUCAUCUCUUCUAAUGAGCAUAGAUCUUUGAGUGCUGUACUUUGGUCUUAGGUCUUUGGGAAGAGGGUAAGACAUACUCAUCUCGCAUAAGAGGGAAAGUGAUUGAAAUACCUUUUAUGGUAUGGAGAGGUGACUCAAGGGUUUAGAGGCUUACAAUUCCCAGGCAUAUCUUCCACACCCCACUCUCAACCUUCUUGGGUAGUAUAUACACACACAUAAAAAGUAAGGUCUUAAUUUAGCUUCAUUGAUGACC
rnacentral:lncRNA from 1 species